UGAUAGUGUAAGUUGAACCUCAUGUAGCAGUCUCAGUGUCACAGUGCAUCCGAUGUUUUGACGAAACCCGGCGUCAUUUUGAUUCUGCAGCCUCCAGCAGACCCUGAACACGGCAGCACCUGCGGGACAGCUCGAAUUCCACGUCACACUAAAUAAUAAAUUAAUAUCACUGAAUGAGACUGGUGAACAGUCAACCUCGCCCACCGCCCCUCCUCGUCUGAAAUCACUCUGCUGUGGGAGCCAAUCGGAGCCUCGCAUCCUGUCUACCACUUCCCACAGGCCCCUCCUCCUCCCCUCUGUGAUUAUAUAGCCUUUGGAUGUCGGCAUUACAAUACACACACAACGCUGCUGCUGCUGCUGCUGGGUAGCAGCUCGGGAGACGAGGCUGCACUGAAAACAUUCACCCAUUGAUGGAAACUGGAAACACAGGACACAUGCUGGCAGGUAUUGAGGGCAACAACAACAGCAGCAGCAACCUCAGUGAGAUUGACGGGACCAGAGGCAACGUGAGAGAACCCCGUCGUAGUGUCAUCAGCGCCUGUAGCAAUCAUCGGCCACGCUCUGAGAGGUCCGCCACCAACGGGCAGCCUUACUUGCAUUGUUACCCAAGGACAACAACUCCAAGAUGGGCUGCUCCUCAGGCCGCCAGCCCCCAGCCCCGGUACUUCACCCGGACCUUGACUGUGGCAACAACAGCGAGACGAACACCUUACCCCAGGACUCUGACAGCCAGGCCCAGGGUCUGAACGGCUUUGGAGAAGGAAGAGAUGCAGAGGGAAGUGUUGGAAGGGACUCAGCCAAACCCCCAGAGUCUCUUCCCACACUGGAGAGACUUGCGCAGGCUACCGGCGGGACAGAAAAGUCCUGGUACCGCUGCGUGUUCCCUUUCGGGGUGAUAUCCCUGGUGAUUGGCAUGGCGGGCACCGGGGUGACUUUCACUUUUAACACGCUGCUCCAGACCAAAGUGGUGUCUGUGGCGCUGCUGUGCGCCGGCGUCGUGAUGCUGCUCGUGGCAGCUGUUUGCUGGAGGGCGCACAGACUGAGGAGGAGGAAAAAGAAGGAAGGGGGAUUCUUCACCGCAGAUCAGGGAACAUUGUGAUGGAGUGUCGACUUACACGGUCAGAUCCUUGUAAGUCAGGACAGAGCACUUCAAGUUGGACUUCUGGAAAGACAACUCAAUGACAUAAAUAAGAUUUAGGGACCAUCCAUGCUUUUCCUCUAUGCACCAUGACAGUGAUGAAGAGAGUUGAAAAAUGUUUGAAAAACUUUGCCAGGGAAACUCUGUGACACUAUUGACAGUAGGACUUAUAUGUAUUCAGGAAAGGCCAGUUUAGCAUAGACAUCAUGACCAUCCUGAGCAGACAUACAGGGUAAAGAAAGUGUCACAACACAGAUCAUUGCUCCAAGACUGAGUUCUUGAGUCAGUGCAUUGUAUGACAGAUAGGCACCUCAGGAAAAGUUAUCUGACACUUCCUGAUCCUCUAUUUACAGCUUGACAGCACACAGUCUCCUUAAAGAGGUGUGCCCGUGUGGGUCAGGAGGUGUUAGCUAUGACCAGAUAUGCCCGUCGGGAAGAUGUGGCUGAGCAUGUGAGGUAAUCGGAGCAGACAGAGAGAGAGAGAGAGAACAGUCUAGGAAACAUUGUCAGACUUUUCAGCUUGUGCACGAUGGUUUAAUGGUGCAGUCCGACGGCCAACAUCAUACUUUCUAGAGGAGCGCAGGACCAAAAAGUUUGCCACUGUAAACCCUGGCCUGACUCACAGAGGUAAAUGGGACAUGAUUUCCUUUUCUUACAAAACUGCUGUUGAGGUGCCCUAAUGCACUUACACCAGAGCCUCUGACUGCCUGAGCGAGGUCGCUCAUUAGGGGAUGAAUGUACCAAGCUGCAGCGAGGGGGUUUCUAUCUGAAACAGAAUAAGGCAGACAAAAUCAUGCAAAAGAAACAUGUUCAGUAAAUCUUCCCAGGGUUGGAAACUCCACACAUGUUAUCCCACCUUCAUGUUCCUCCCUGCAGUUCGAUAUAUCGUAUUAAUGUAUUGUACUGGGUCAACACUUUUCCUUCCUGCCGCCAAGCUUGGUGGUAGAUAAACACGAUCCAGCUGUGCCGGAUCAAUAGAAAUCACCGCUCCAUGAAGUAUUAAGCUUUGGAGGGAACGGGCUGCAAUUUCAGUCCCCACAGAUGAAAUAGCAUUUCCAAGCACUCGUGGACUUGUCAUAGAUGACUUACAUUGUAUGACAAGGAAAUUCCAUUUCAAACAUGCCUCGGUAAACACACAUUUACAAAGACAAAGCGCAUGAUGGCCUCAUCUUUGCCUACCUGAUUCCUCUGAUCCUCCUGCUAAACCCAACAAAGGCGACACCAUUUUGAGCAAUUUCCUUUGUACUCUCUAUUGGAAGGAUUUAUGUAGUUGUUUGUUUAGGUGGCUUGAUAUGAGAGGCUUAACAAGAUUUAACAUGUCUUUCCAGAUGGAUAUAACAUAGUGGUAGCUAUUGUGUCUUAAUGCCUUUGUCCUGGAUAUUGUUCUGUCUUGAACACCAUACACUAGAAUUAGAACAUCAAGGAGUCAGGUGGUUUCUCUUCUGCCUUUGUUCCUUGAAGAAUGAAAAAUUCGAGUUGUGGAGCCAAAAUGUAGCAGCAUGUUAACCAUAGUAACUACGAUGGUGUGCGGUCUUUAGUGGCAGAUGAUGUGGUUCCGAGGAAGACCCAGCAGCUUCUCAUCAGUUGUAGCGCUGUUAUCGUCUUUGAUUGAUAUUUGAUUUCCAUCUCUCUGAUUAAAUGUUUACCGAGCAUUACACAUGCUCCUUUUUUUUCUUUUUGCAUGGGGUUACAAUUGCUGUAUUCAUGUAGAGCAGCAUCUGUGGAAAUGUGUACUCUGCGUGUGUGGGUGUGCACACUAAAGCUACACUCUAGUCUAUUUCCCUUGGUGUCCCCCCACUUCCUCCUCCAUGUCGCCUAUUCAGUUUAAUGUUAGGGCUUUCACAGUCUGUCGUAAAAACCCGAGAUGAUCUGAGAUAAUCCAUCACAGUGUUGGUGUGUUCAUCCGUGUAUACACAUUUUGGUCAUGAAAUACUGUGUAUUCUUCUAAAUGACAUAUCAUAAAUACUGUAGGUACUGUGUCUAAUUAAGCGUGUAGCUACAUUUCUGAAUGUACCUCUAACAGUCAGUGUCUUACCAACAUCCCUGUACAGAGUGUAAAGGCUAUUUAUGGAUCUUCUAUUUUGAGUAGACAGAGCAUAUUUAGACAUACAGUCCAGUAUGUAUCUCUUUGAGGCGGUUGCCCACACCAUUGAUUUUAUUUUCUGUUCCAGCAGCUCUCUGGUUGUAACGAUUUCAAGUGUGUUGCUGUGCGCGUCAGUUGUAAUUGUUUCAUUCCAAAAUGAGACAUCUGCCAUUUGAAAGAGCGGACACAGACAAGGUGUAAAUUCCCAUCAAGGUGAAGUACAUUAUGGGUUAUAAUUCAAAUUGCCUUUUUUGCCUUUUUUAACCAUUCACAAGUAAAUUUCAGGUGGUAUUUUUUUUUAAGACAAUCUUGAUAAAUAAGGUUUUGGAAUGAAAUUAUUCAGUUGCUUAAGUGGUUAUAAUCAUUUUUGCUUUGAGUUUUAUUGGCAUGGCCCAGCUUUUCUCUGAGUGCCUUUUACUUGCAACAUCAAUGUUUCUCUGUAAGGUGCCGUUGAUGUGAGCUGUGCAGGCCUACAGGUGCCGCUGAUAGAGUAGCCCACGAGAUGCAGAAACGUCAGUUUACUUCAGUCAAGUGUUUGUUAAUGGUGUGCAUGAAAAUACCUAAAGUCACACUUUGAUACAGUUCCUUUAGUAAAUAACCAGAAAUACCAAAUAUAUUUAUCAAGAAGUUUAUUUUUUGUCUCUCUCUAAGUGUGUGUAAGAUUGUACAUUUUUGUUGUUUACUGUAAACUGCUGAAGCGCUGGAUUAAAAGCAACAGUCUGUUUUGGAAA